rnacentral:rRNA from 1 species
GGCGUCGAGCGGCGGACGGGUGAGUAAUGCUUAGGAAUUUGCCCAGUCGAGGGGGACAACAGUUGGAAACGACUGCUAAUACCGCAUACGCCCUACGGGGGAAAGAGGGGGAUGCUUCGGCACCUUUCGCGAUUGGAUAAGCCUAAGUGAGAUUAGCUAGAUGGUGAGGUAAUGGCUCACCAUGGCGACGAUCUCUAGCUGGUUUGAGAGGAUGAUCAGCCACACUGGAACUGAGACACGGUCCAGACUCCUACGGGAGGCAGCAGUGGGGAAUAUUGCACAAUGGGCGCAAGCCUGAUGCAGCCAUGCCGCGUGUAUGAAGAAGGCCUUCGGGUUGUAAAGUACUUUCAGCGAGGAGGAAAGGUUAACGGUUAAUACCCGUUAGCUGUGACGUUACUCGCAGAAGAAGCACCGGCUAACUCCGUGCCAGCAGCCGCGGUAAUACGGAGGGUGCGAGCGUUAAUCGGAAUUACUGGGCGUAAAGCGCAUGCAGGCGGUCUGUUA